rnacentral:misc_RNA from 1 species
CAACCCUCAAGCCCCAGCGGCUUGGUGUUGGGGACCGGCGACCUCGCUGCACCCUGGUGCAGGCGUCCGCCGCCCCCGAAAUGAAUUGGCGGCCUCGUCGCGGCCUCCUCUGCGUAGUAGCACAACCUCGCAACAGGAGCGCGACGCGGCCACUGCCGUAAAACGCCCAACUUUUUUAG